UAGGUUACUCAAAGUUAGGUUUCACUAGGUUAGGUUACUCAAAGUUAGGUUUCACUAGGUUAGGUUACUCAAAGUUAGGUUUCACUAGGUUAGGUUACUCAAAGUUAGGUUUCACUAGGUUAGGUUACUCAAAGUUAGGUUUCACUAGGUUAGGUUACUCAAAGUUAGGUUUCACUAGGUUAGGUUACUCAAAGUUAGGUUUCACUAGGUUAGGUUACUCAAAGUUAGGUUUCACUAGGUUAGGUUACUCAAAGUUAGGUUUCACUAGGUUAGGUUACUCAAAGUUAGGUUUCACUAGGUUAGGUUACUCAAAGUUAGGUUUCACUAGGUUAGGUUACUUAAACUUAGGUUUUGCUUCGUUGCGUUGCUCAAAGUUAGGUUUCGAUUCAACAAAUCGGUUUCGUAGGCACAAAA
rnacentral:lncRNA from 1 species